rnacentral:lncRNA from 1 species
AUGAGAUCUUCCUGCCUCAGCCUUCUUGAGCACCAGGAUUGCAAGCCUGGGCCACCCUGCUUGGGUUCCAAGACUUUUUAUGCUCCUGCCAGUUGGACAUCUGGCCCAGGAGGUUGGGUCAGGACAGGGGUCAGUAAUGUUCUCCCUAUUCCAGGGCUGUGCCCCUCCAACGAUGAGGUGGGGCCUUGUUUGCCCCCCCCAACCACGGCAUGGGCAUCUGGGAGCAUGGGUGAUGGGGGAGGGGGUGUUUUUAUCACUUCUGUUUUAAAAGCCCUGGGGUUCCUCAUGCCCAUCUCUCUGCACAUGGGCAACACUCCUGGGGUCCUUCCAGUCCCACGCACCCGUGGUUUGAUUUCACACACGUGCACGCGCACGCACAGGCGCACGCGCACGUGCACCCCUCCCCAGGCACCCUGCGGCACCCGUCCCACAGAAGGCACAGCAGGGACUUGCGGACGAAAAGCCCUUGUGCAAGGACCGCCAGUUCCCGAAGAGCCAGGAUUCGAACACUGGCCGAACGGAAAGUGCUAUGGAUCACUGGUCUGCAGGGACACCCCCCAGACCACACUGGGGUCCCCAACCGCAGCCGCAGUGCACCUCCCUCCAGGGCCCACAGUAAUUUAGAGGUGUGUUUCUUCCAUAUGUGUAAGAACUCUGCCCAGACCCCUUAGAGCCCAUCCAGUGACAUCCUGGCUAUUCAGGAGGCUGAGGCAGGAGGAUCACCUGAGCCCAGGAGUUGCAGGCCACCCUGGGCAACAUAGGGAGACCCCAUUUUAAACAAAACAAAAUGAAACAAACUAAAAAAUCUCAGCAAAAACCAAACCCGGGUCCUGGGGCUCUAUCUGGUAAGAAGCUGUUUAAACGACCUGUGAGGUAGAGGGGGGCCUGACACCAGCCUUUUUUUUUGCAGUGGUGGGGAUUGAGCCCAGGGCCUCUCGAGUGCUACACCAACGCCAGACCACUGAGCGGCCUCCCUAGCCCCAGGUAUCCACGGUGCUGAAACCCAACUAUCAAGCUCCUCUAGUGAUUUGCACACACAGCCCGGGUCCACAGCCCAGGGCCCGGUGUGCUCUCGGGUGCUGUCCUGUGGAGGUCUCCCGUGGUCAUUUGCAGCUGGACCCGGGGACACAGGGCUCACAUAUCAGCUCUGUCCCCCCAACCGCUGCAUGCUCUUUGACCCCAAGAACGCACCCGGGCUCAGGUCCUGCAGAGAAAUGCGUCUGGCAGGCUCUGCUCCUUUCUUGUGGAUGUUUUCAGCAUCAUCCCUUAGGGGUCUCUGGAGGGCUGGCAUUUUUGCUGCUUGUUUUCUUGCAGUACAGGGUGGCUAAAUCCUGCCUGCCAGCAGGACUCCCUUCCAGGACACCGUUCAGCAGUUCUCUGCUGCUUGUCAGCCCUGCACCUCCAGGCAGGUUACAGAGCUUUCUGUGCCUCAGUUUCCCGGCCAAAUGGCUCAUCACCUAAUGGUGCCUGCCUCAUACUGUUACUGGUGAAGAUGAAAGUAGUGAGUUCGUGGCUGGGUGUGGUGGUGCAUACCUGCAAUCCCAGCACGUGGGAGGCUGAGGCAGGAGGAUCUCUCUAAGUCUGAGGCCAGUCUGGGCUACAUAGCAAGACCUUAUCUCAACAAAACAAAACAAAACAAAACAAAACAAGAAAAAAAAAAACUUUCAUGGAAAGUACCCAGGAUGGAGGUACAGAAUAAAUUCCUCAAACUGUUAUCUAAUUUUAUUUCAGGACAGGGUUUUGCUAAAUUAAGUUGGGGUUGAACUUGUGAUCCUCCUGCCUCAGCCUUCCAGGAUCCUCAUACCUGGCUGAGUAUGCUGUUGUUUUCAGAAAGCUCGCUGUAAAGCAGUGUGCUGUUAGCCCACAGCGGCCUCCCACACCUGUUGUUUACAACCCUCACUGGCACCACGAGGCCACAUGGAGUGACUGGCCUGUACCAAAGGUCACCUGGCCUGAUGACGCUCUGACCCCUGCAUUAAGCAACACUGGGUGGGGAAGAAGCUGGACAAACACUGGCUGAUGGCUUCCCCAGAGCAUGGUUCUGCCCACUGCGGGGUCCUCUCCUCAUUCGCAGUUAAUUUCAAGCCCGCGGCUGUGCAGAACCUGGUCUCAGGACGCCCCCUGGUGACCCGUUGGAAGAACGGCUGUUGCAGUGGUCCGGGGACACUCCAGGCGGUGGCUGGUGUCUGCUGGGACUGAGGAAGGGCAGGGUCGCCUGGGUGGUCAGCAGAAAGGUGGGCUUUGGGCAACUCCCCCGCGGGCGGGACGCCACCUCGAGGGGUUGGAAAUGUGGGGCGUUCCAGAUGGUCCCAGGGGUGUUGCAUGUCCUGCACGAUACUGGCAGGCCCUGUGCUUCCGGCGGCUCCCGAGAGCACCACCAGACGGCAGAGGAGUGCAUGACAUCGCUCCUGGAGUCACUCCUGGAGUUUGUCUAUCCGGACGUGCAAAGCCCUGUGCGUACACCAGGGGUUCCGGGCUAGAAGUGGCUGCUUUGUGCCCCUUGGAAUUCUGUCCGGAGUUGUUCAGCUGCCGUGGUGGCGCACACCUGUCAUCCCAGCACUCGGGAGGCUGAGGCCCCUCGAGUUUGGGGCCAGCCUGGACUACAUAGAUCCUGUCUCAAAAAGCCAAAAGAAAAAAAAAGUAUUAUGAUAAAAGACACAUUGCCACCAGUUCCCCUCAAAACACCCCCAAGGACACUGCUGCCUAUACCCUGGUCCUCCAUCUGUCCUUGACCUUAAGGGAGUGUCUGCCUUUUGGGCCUUUGCUUCCAGUGUCUGAGGGAGGGGCAUUGGUUCUGGGAGACCCUCUGUCCCCCUCCCUCCCUUCGGCAGGCUGUGGCCUCGGUGUGAGGGCUGAUGGAGCGCAGGGCUUAGCGGUCAUUUUGCCACCCCUUCCUUGUUACCUAGAGACGAGUGAUGGAAAUUCCCUCACACGGCCGAAUUGUCUAUCAGAUGGCAGAGUGGAGUCCUGACCCAGGACAGGGCCCCGUAGAGUACAUGGGGAGGAUGUGGGGACAUCACAGAGCAGGGGGUUACCAUGGGACCUGUCCGUGCCCGGGAGGGACGCCGGGCCAAGAAAGUCAGGCUGUGCUGGGUGGGGCGGAAGCUGGAACGCAGGCUGUCGAGGCGGGAGAGGUGGGAGGCGAGUGCCCUGCCCUGCUGAGGUGGCCUGCUGUCGCUGAUGGCCCCGCUGGGGCAUCAGCCACCCCGGGGACACUGACCUGCUGCAGCACAGCCUGUGGCCCUCUGCCUGCUUGUCCC